rnacentral:lncRNA from 1 species
CACCCGGUAGGAAUAUUAUAUUUUGAUUAUUAGUUACACUAUUUAUCGCGCCUAAAAGUGUAGUGUAUACUAGUCUGGGAGCCGUUUUUCUUGUGGCGAUUUUUUAAAUGAAUUAUCUACGUCAAUAUUGAACCCACGGGGGGCGCCUCACCCCUGCCUUCCCCAUGGACAGUCCAGCAAUGUCUGCUUCCACUCCCCCUGUGUUUCCAGACCCAGAGAGUGAAGCAAAGCCAGAAUCAACCACCACACUAGAUAAAUAGCCAUUACUGUGACGAUGGAAUGCUGUCAGUGAGCAGCAUGGAAGAUGCAGAGAGAGUGGCGGUCAGGUGGUGGUGGAGACAGGGAGAGUAUGUGGCCUGGAGAUUAACAAACAGAACACCAAUAAUCUUGUGACCUCCAUGCACCCUUCCUAAUGUCAAUAAAGUUGUCUUAUCAUGCCCAAAA